rnacentral:lncRNA from 10 species
CCUCAGCGCCCCCAGCACGCCGCCGAGUCCCGCUCGCCAUGGCGCCCACUCGGGCCCAGGCACUCUCCCGGGCGCCCUGAUCCGACAGCCCCAGGCAAGUGCAGCUGUUCCUGGUCUGCAGAUGAAGAAAUGGAGGCUCCGAAAGAAGCAAAGCAGUUCAUCGAUUCGCUGAGCGCGGUUGUGCCCCAGGCGCUGUUGUGGGCCUGGGGACGCUGUCGCGAACGAAACUGCGAACAAAACAGACGAACCCCCUCCUCUGGACGUGAUUCUGCAGAGAGGGGACAGAGAAGGAGAUUCUAACACAGCAUUGGGGUGGGACGCGUGGGGAAUGGCUUUGUUGCCACUCGGGACUAGGGCUCUAUUUUUCUCUCUGCAUUCAGAAGCCUCGAAGGAUCAGUCGUUGAUUCUUGAGUGAGCACCUACUACGUGCCAGACAUUGAUAUAGGGGUUAGAGCUUCAGCAAUGAACAAAAUAGACAAUAAACCUCUCUCUCAUGG